ACGGAGGAUGCAAGCGUUAUCCGGAUUUAUUGGGUUUAAAGGGUGCGCAGGCGGAUUAAUAAGUCAGUGGUGAAAUCUUACGGCUCAACUGUAAAACUGCCAUUGAUACUGUUAGUCUUGAGUAUUGUUGAGGAAGGCGGAAUGUGUCAUGUAGCGGUGAAAUGCUUAGAUAUGACACAGAACACCAAUCGCGAAGGCAGCUUACCAAACUAUAACUGACGCUCAUGCGCGAAAGCGUGGGGAUGAAACAG
rnacentral:rRNA from 1 species